rnacentral:rRNA from 1 species
CGAAAGGGUGACGAAGCGACGCCGCGUGUGGGAAGAAGGCCUUCGGGUUGUAAACCACUGUCAGGAGUUAAGAAGUGUAGUGGAGCGAAUAGCGCCAUUACAUGACUAAGGCUCCAGAGGAAGCCACGGCUAACUCUGUGCCAGCAGCCGCGGUAAUACAGAGGUGGCAAGCGUUGUUCGGAAUUAUUGGGCGUAAAGAGCACGUAGGCGGUUCUGCAAGUCGGCUGUGAAAGCCUUCCGCUCAACGGAAGAACAGCAGUUGAUACUACAGGACUAGAGUGCGGGAGGGGAGAGUGGAACUUCUGGUGGAGCGGUGAAAUGCGUAGAUAUCAGAAGGAACGCCGGCGGCGAAAGCGACUCUCUGGCCCGUAACUGACGCUGAGUGUGCGAAAGCUAGGGGAGCAAACGGGAUUAGAUACCCCGGUAGUCCUAGCCGU